GUUGCGGUAAAAAAGCUCGUAGUUGGAUUUCUGUUGAGGGCGUCCGGUCCGUACCAUGUACUGGCAUCUGGCUCGGCCUCGGCAUCCUCUCGUUGAACGUUUCUGCGCUUGAUUGCGUGGAGCGAGCUUCGGGACUUUUACUUUGAGGAAAUUAGAGUGUUCACGGCAGGCUUUCGCCGGAAUAUAUUAGCAUGGAAUAAUACUAUAGGAUCUCGAUUCUAUUUUGUUGGUUUCUAGAGUUGAGAUAAUGAUUAAUAGGGACAAUUGGGGGCAUUCGUAUCAAUGCGUCAGAGGUGAAAUUCUUGGAUUGCAUUGCGACGAACUACUGCGAAAGCAUUUGCCAAGGAUGUUUUCAUUGAUCAAGAACGAAAGUAAGGGGAUCGAAGACGAUUAGAUACCGUCGUAUUUUUUUACCAUAAACCAUGCCAACCAGGGAUGGGGACAACGUUAUCUUACGACUUGUUCCGCACCUUAUGAGAUAUCAUAAGUUUCUGGGUUCCGGGGGGAGUAUGAUCGCAAGUUUGAAACUUAAAGGAAUUGACGGAAGGGCACCACCAGGAGUGGAGCCUGCGGCUUAAUUUGACUCAACACGGGAAAACUCACCAGGUCCAGACAUAAUAAGGAUUGACAGAUUGAUAGCUCUUUCUUGAUUUUAUGGGUGGUGGUGCAUGGCCGUUCUUAGUUCGUGGAGUGAUUUGUCUGCUUAAUUGCGUUAACGAACGAGACCUUAACCUGCUAAAUAGGAGUGCAUAUCUUCGGAUAAGCACCUUUCUUCUCAGAGGGACUGUAUGUGUUUCAACAUGCGGAAGUUUGAGGCUAAAGCAGGUCUGUGAUGCCCUUCGAUGUUCUGGGCUGCACGCGCGCUACACUGAUGCGUUCAACGAGUGUACAACCUUGCUCGAUAGAGUUGGGUAACCUUUUGAACACGCAUCGUGAUGGGGAUAGAGUAUUGCAAUUAUUACUCUUC
rnacentral:rRNA from 1 species